GUAACAAGGUCUCCGUUGGUGAACCAGCGGAGGGAUCAUUACCGAGUUUACAACUCCCAAACCCAAUGUGAACGUUACCAAUCUGUUGCCUCGGCGGGAUUCUCUGCCCCGGGCGCGUCGCAGCCCCGGAUCCCAUGGCGCCCGCCGGAGGACCAACUCAAACUCUUUUUUCUCUCCGUCGCGGCCUACGUCGCGGCUCUGUUUUAUUUUUGCUCUGAGCCUUUCUCGGCGACCCUAGCGGGCGUCUCGAAAAUGAAUCAAAACUUUCAACAACGGAUCUCUUGGUUCUGGCAUCGAUGAAGAACGCAGCGAAAUGCGAUAAGUAAUGUGAAUUGCAGAAUUCAGUGAAUCAUCGAAUCUUUGAACGCACAUUGCGCCCGCCAGUAUUCUGGCGGGCAUGCCUGUCCGAGCGUCAUUUCAACCCUCGAACCCCUCCGGGGGGUCGGCGUUGGGGAUCGGCCCCUCACCGGGCCGCCCCCGAAAUACAGUGGCGGUCUCGCCGCAGCCUCUCCUGCGCAGUAGUUUGCACACUCGCACCGGGAGCGCGGCGCGGCCACAGCCGUAAAACACCCCAAACUCUGAAAUGUUGACCUCGGAUCAGGUAGGAAUACCCGCUGAACUUAAGCAUAUCAAUAA
rnacentral:misc_RNA from 1 species